UAGCUCAGUCGGUAGAACAUGAGACUCUUAAUCUCAGGGUCGUGGGUUCUGUCCCCAU
rnacentral:tRNA from 1 species